rnacentral:lncRNA from 1 species
CCUUGUCAUCAUGAGCCAGCUGCAGCGUGGGGCUAGGGUGGGGUGUAGUGGUCGGGUCUGGCCCAGGUGUGGAUGUGGUUUGUGGGUGUCGCUGCGUUAUUAGCGUGUGGCUGCCCCAGCCCGGGUGACGAACUGCGUGGGUGUGAGGCGCGUAGUGUAGACGGGGCCUAAGGCACCUUUAUCCCAAUAUUACUGUGUUCAUGCUAGGGGCUGUAUUGGUAUCAGUAUCAGUAGAUCAGUAAAAAUCACCUCCCUAACCAACAUAGUCGUAUUGGUACCAAAUCUGUGUGUUGAGCAGGCCUCACUGCAUUACCCCUUACCACCUACCACACUGCAAAGUGAUGAAAACGCCAAGCCAGGUCCACACUAGGACAUUUUGUUGGCAGAGCUAUGUCGGUCAGGGGUGUGAAAAAAACACAUCCCUCCAGCCAACAUUGCUAGGCCAGUAACACCCCCAGUGUAGACGCAGCUAUGCCGACAGAAGAGAGCUUCUGUGGGCAGAGUUAACAUCAUUCGGGGAGGUGGUGGUGUUAUACCAUCACAAGAACCCCCUCUGUGGGCACAGGCUGUGUCUACACUAGGUGACUCUACCUGUAUAGGUGUACUGAUAUAGCUGUAGCAGAAGAGCAUGUGUAGUGUAAACUAGCCCACAGUCUUUAAAGCUGUCCUUUUCUGUUUCAGGUGGCUGUUUUCCAGGCCAGGCAUCCAUUUCCUCUUACAAAUCAGUAUCUUUCCUUGCUGAAGGAGUCAAAAUCAGAAUGGAGGUGCUUGGGCUUGAUUGCUGGUGGUUCCACAUGUUACUGAGCCAUGAAGCUUGUGUGGGGAGGUUCAGCCAUAGGCAGUUGGACAGCGAUCGCCUGCCAGCAGCUCUGCGAUAAGGGUGUCAUGUGAACUGAUGUGCUAAGUGGGGAAAUCAUCCACUGGGAAACCCAGCUAUAGGACCAAGGCAUUGC